UUUAAAUCAAGAUCGUGGCAAAGGGUUGUUAGGUACACCUCCACCAGGGUUUCCACCCAAUAACACAGUAGUUAUGUCUGCAACAAUUGGAGGUCAUUUAGGUACUUCUUCUUGUAUUGGCACGAUUAUUCGAUGGGAAGACUCUUUCAGCUACAAUGUUCACGGUUUGAUGGUGCAAACUUUUGUAGUUGGUGAGCUAAGCUAGAACAAUUUCUCAAGGCUGAAAAUGUGGGAGAUCAAGCCAAAGUUCGAUUAGUCAUGUUGAAUCUUAAUGGUCG
rnacentral:lncRNA from 1 species